AUCAACGCUGGCGGCGUGGCCUAACAACAUGCAAGUCGAACGAGGAAAGCCCGCAAGGGUGAGUUAAAAGUGGCGUACGGGUGAGUAACACGUAGCUAAUCCACCCUCGAGUGGGGAAAUAACCUGGGGAAACUCGGGCUAAUACCGCAUAACAUCCCGGAGGCUUAAGUCACUGGGAUCAAGGACCCGCAAGGGUCGCUCCGUGGAGGAGGCUGCGGCCGAUUAGCUAGUUGGCGGGGUAACGGCCCACCAAGGCGAUGAUCGGUAGCCGGCCUGAGAGGGCGCACGGUCACACUGGCACUGAAACACGGGCCCAGAACUCCUACGGGAGGCAGCAGUGGGGAAUUUUGCACAAUGCCCGAAAGGGUGAUGCAGCCAACGGCCGCGUGAGGGAUGAAGGCCUUCGGGUCGUAAACCUCUUUCGACCGGGAAAAAAACGGGCGGCGUGAAGAGCGCGUUCUGAUGGGUACCGGAUGAAAGAAGCCCCGGCUAACUACGUGCCAGCAGCCGCGGUAAUACGUAGGGGGCGAGCGUUUUCGGAAUUACUGGGCGUAAAGGGCGUGUAGGCGGUGCGGUAAGUCGGGCGUGAAAUCCCCGGGCUUAACUCGGGGGGGGCCGUUCGAAACUGCCGUGCUAGGGUGCGGGAGGAGGGCGGUGGAAUUCCCGGUGUGUAGCGGUGAAAUGCCGUAGAUAUCGGGAGGAACACCUGCGGCGGAAGGCGGGCCGCCUGGACCGUUACCGACGCUGAGGCGCGAAAGCUAGGGGAGGCAAACGGGAUUAGAUACCCUGGUAGUCCUAGCCCUAAACGAUGAGCACUUGGUGUGGCCCCUUCCGGGGCCGUGCCGGAGCUAACGCGUUAAGUGCUCCGCCUGGGGAGUACGGUCGCCAAGGCUGAAACUCAAAGGAAUUGACGGGGGGCCCGCACAAAGGCGGUGGAGCAUGUGGUUCAAUUCGACGCAACGCGAAAGAACCUUACCUGGACCUCGAAAUGCAGUUGACCGUCUCAGAGAUGAGGCUUUUCCCCGCAAGGGACGGCUGUAUAGGUGCUGCAUGGCUGUCGUCAGCUCGUGUUCGUGAGAUGUUGGGGUUAAGUCCCCGCAACGAGCGCAACCCUCAUCCUUAGUUGCCCGGCCCGCAAGGGAGGCACCCUAAGGAAAACCGCCCUCGGAUAAGGGGGAGGAAGGUGGGAUGACGUCAAGUCCUCAUGGCCUUUAUGCCCGGGGCUACACACGUGCUACAAAUGGCCCGGUACAAAGCCGUCGCCAACUCGCAAGAGGGAGCCAAUCGCCAAAAACCGGUCUCAGUUCGGAUUGCAGUCUGCAACUCGACUGCAUGAAAGCUGGAAUCGCUAGUAAUCGCGUAUCAGAACGAUGCGGGUGAAUACGUUUCUCGGGCCUUGUACACACCGCCCGUCACAUCACGAAAGUGGUUUGUACUAGAAGUCGCAAUUCUAACCGCAAGGGAGGAUAGCGCCCAAGGUAUGAACCAUGAUUGGGGUG
rnacentral:rRNA from 1 species